AGGUUUGAGUACUUCUAUGGGUUGUGGGUUGGGGUUGGGGGGGUAGCAGUUCGCCUAUUGGGAUCUUGGGCAUCUUCCGAACCCCGCAAGCCUGUGUAGUCCUGAAUCCUGCCUCGGCCUGUCUCCACCUUAGCCAUUGUCGGUUAAUCAUAAUCUUCUUGAACAUCCAGCAGGGUCGUGGUGAGCUGGCUACAGAUGUCGAACUUAACCGAAAUCCAGAGGCCCAGUGAGCAGAAGGGCCUGGUAAGGUGGGCUUUUUAGUAAUAAAGCAAAACUAGUGAGUUUUUA